rnacentral:rRNA from 1 species
AUGAACGCUGGCGGCGUACUUAAUACAUGCAAGUCGAACGGAAACAGUAGCAAUAUUGUUUUAGUGGCGAACGGGUGAGUAACGCGUUGGUGACCUGCCCCGAAGAGAGGGAUAACAGUUCGAAAGGAUUGCUAAUACCUCAUGUGGUUAUAUGGUUUAGAAGCUUAUAACUAAGCGGAUUUAUUCGCUUCGGGAGGGGCCUGCGUCCCAUCAGCUAGUUGGUAAGGUAAUGGCUUACCAAGGCUAUGACGGGUAGGGGACCUGAGAGGGUGGCCCCCCACAAUGGAACUGAAACACGGUCCAUACACCUACGGGUGGCAGCAGUAGGGAAUAUUGGUUAAUGUGGGAAACCGCGAACCAGCAACGCCGCGUGCACGAUGAAGGCCUUCGGGUCGUAAAGUGCUUUUAGAGAGGAUGAGGAAGGACAGUACUCUCUGAAUAAGCCUCGGCUAACUACGUGCCAGCAGCCGCGGUAAAACGUAGGAGGCGAGCGUUAUCCGGAUUUACUGGGCGUAAAGCGCGUGUAGGCGGUCUGACAAGUUGGAUGUGAAAGCUCCUGGCUUAACUGGGAGAGGUCGUUCAAAACUGUUAGACUUGAGAGUGGUAGAGGGAGGUGGAAUUCCGGGUGUAGUGGUGAAAUGCGUAGAUAUCCGGAGGAACACCAGUGGCGAAAGCGGCCUCCUGGACCAUUUCUGACGCUCAGACGCGAAAGCUAAGGUAGCAAACGGGAUUAGAGACCCCGGUAGUCUUAGCUGUAAACGAUGUGAACUAGGUGUCGGUGGGUUCAAAUCCAUCGGUACCGAAGCUAACGCGAUAAGUUCACCGCCUGGGGACUACGGCCGCAAGGUUA